rnacentral:rRNA from 1 species
GCUAAACGCGAAGAACCUUACCUACCCUUGACAUGUCCGGAAGCCUGCUGAAAGGUAGGGGUGCUCGAAAGAGAACCGGAACACAGGUGCUGCAUGGCUGUCGUCAGCUCGUGUCGUGAGAUGCUGGGUUAAGUCCCACAACGAGCGCAACCCUUAUCGUAUGUUGCCAGCAUUAAGUUGGGCACUCGUGCGAGGCCGCCGGUGUUAAGCCGGAGGAAGGUGGGGACGACGUCAAGUCAUCAUGGCCCUUACGUGUAGGGCUACAAACGUGCUACAAUGGUGAGUACAACGAGAUGCGAACCCGCGAGGGGGAGCUAAACUCAAAACUACAUCUCAGUUCGGAUUGGAGUCUGCAACUCGACUCCAUGAAGUCGGAAUCGCUAGUAAUUGCGAAUCAGCACGUCGCAGUGAAUACGUUCCCGGGUCUUGUACACACCG